GUUUCACCUUUGGAAGUUCUUGAUUCAUCCUUGGUUGCCUUCCACUUCUUUGGCCUCUUCCUCCGUUCAAGUUCAUUAUUUAUUUUAGAUUUUUGUUUAAUGAACUUAUUAAGAUUUAGUGUUCGAAGUUCAAGUUCAUCAUUGUCCUCAUCACUUGAGUCAUCGCUCAAGUGGUAUUCAUUUGUCCGGAGUUCCAAAUCCU
rnacentral:lncRNA from 1 species